GACGAACGCUGGCGGCGUGCUUAACACAUGCAAGUCGAACGGAAAGGCCCUGCUUUUGUGGGGUGCUCGAGUGGCGAACGGGUGAGUAACACGUGAGUAACCUGCCCUUGACUUUGGGAUAACUUCAGGAAACUGGGGCUAAUACCGGAUAGGAGCUCCUGCUGCAUGGUGGGGGUUGGAAAGUUUCGGCGGUUGGGGAUGGACUCGCGGCUUAUCAGCUUGUUGGUGGGGUAGUGGCUUACCAAGGCUUUGACGGGUAGCCGGCCUGAGAGGGUGACCGGCCACAUGGGGACUGAGAUACGGCCCAGACUCCUACGGGAGGCAGCAGUGGGGAAUAUUGCACAGUGAGCGGAAGCCUGAUGCAGCAACGCCGCGUGCGGGAUGACGGCCUGCGGGUUGUAAACCGCUUUCGCCUGUGACGAAGCGUGAGUGACGGUAAUGGGUAAAGAAGCACCGGCUAACUACGUG
rnacentral:rRNA from 1 species